rnacentral:tRNA from 1 species
GCCGCAGUCGCAUAACCUGGUAGUGCGACAGUCUUGAAAACUGUUUCCGAAAGGAAUUCUCGGUUCAAAUCCGAGCUGCGGCG